UCAGUGUUUACUGUGGGGAAGGACAUGGAAGAUAUAGAAUAUGAGGAAAUAGAUGGUGACAGCUUGAAAAUUGUCUAUAUUACAGAUGAGGAGGUGCUAGAUGUUUUGAUGGGGGGUUGAUUUUCAGACUGGAUGCCUGUGACCAGUGGUGUGCCACAAGGAUCGGUGAUGGGUUCACUACUUUUCGUG